AAGUCGUAACAAGGUUUCCGUAGGUGAACCUGCGGAAGGAUCAUUAGAAAAGUCUCAUACACACACCUGUGAACCGUCCCUUCGGGGUUAUACAAACUCUAGUGUUGUCAUGCAUGUCUUGUUAUACCUAACAAAUAUAA
rnacentral:misc_RNA from 1 species